rnacentral:rRNA from 1 species
CGGUACCCUGACCGUGCUAAGGUAGCAUAAUCAUUUGCCUCUUAAUUAGUGGCUAGUAUGAAUGGACACACGAAAAUUUAACUGUCUCUAUUUUAAGGCUCAUAAAAAUUAGUCCUCAAGUGCAAAAACUUGAAUACCUUUAAAGGACAAGAAGACCCUGUAGAUCCUAAAAUUCUUAUAUAUUCAAAACCAAAAAUUUAUUUACAAUCCCCGCAAUUAUAAAAUUUUUAGUUGGGGCAACUAGAAUAUACCCAAACCUAUUCUUCUUAUUUAGGCACUGAGGCCCUUCAACUGAUCCACCUUAGUGAUCAUACGCACAGGUUACCUCAGGGAUAACAGACUAAUCCUUCUUAAAAGCCCUUAUUAACAGAAGGGAUUGGCACCUCGAUGUUGGCUUAGGGCCCCCUUAAGGCGCAGAAGCUUUACUGGUAGGUUUGUUCAACCUUUAAAGCCCUACGUGAUC